UACGUAGGGUGCGAGCGUUGUCCGGAAUUAUUGGGCGUAAAGAGCUCGUAGGCGGUCUGUUACGUCCGCUGUGAAAACCCAGGGCUUAACCCUGGGCUUGCAGUGGAUACGGGUAGACUAGAGUGUGGUAGGGGAGACUGGAAUUCCUGGUGUAGCGGUGAAAUGCGCAGAUAUCAGGAGGAACACCGAUGGCGAAGGCAGGUCUCUGGGCCACUACUGACGCUGAGAAGCGAAAAGCAUGGGGAGCGAACAGG
rnacentral:rRNA from 1 species